rnacentral:rRNA from 1 species
UACGAAGGGGGCUAGCGUUGUUCGGAAUUAUUGGGCGUAAAGAGCUCGUAGGCGGUGUGUCGCGUCGGCCGUGAAAACCUGCAGCUUAACUGUGGGCUUGCGGUCGAUACGGGCAUCACUGGAGUUCGGCAGGGGAGACUGGAAUUCCUGGUGUAGCGGUGAAAUGCGCAGAUAUCAGGAGGAACACCGGUGGCGAAGGCGGCUUGCUGGACCUGGUCUGACGCUGAGGCGCGAAAGCGUGGGGAGCGAACAGG